rnacentral:rRNA from 1 species
AUUGAACGCUGGCGGCAGGCCUAACACAUGCAAGUCGAGCGAGUGGCGGACGGGUGAGUAAUGUCUGGGGAUCUGCCCGAUGGAGGGGGAUAACUACUGGAAACGGUGGCUAAUACCGCAUACUAUCGGAUGAACCCAUAUGGGAUUAGCUAGUAGGUGGGGUAACGGCUCACCUAGGCGACGAUCCCUAGCUGGUCUGAGAGGAUGACCAGCCACACUGGAACUGAGAAACGGUCCAGACUCCGACGGGAGGCAGCAGUGGGGAAUAUUGCACAAAGGGCGAAAGGCUGAAGCAGCCAUGCCGCGUGUAUGAAGAAGGCUUUCGGGUUGGAAAGAACUUGCAGCGAGGAGGCGUUACUUGAAGAAGAAGCAACGGCUAACUCCGUGCCAGCCGCCGCGGUAAUUC